UUCCGGUUGAUCCUGCCGGACCCGACCGCUAUCGGGGUAGGGCUAAGCCAUGCGAGUCGCGCGCCCGGGGGCGCCCGGGAGCGGCGCACGGCUCAGUAACACGUGCCCAACCUACCCUCGGGAGGGGGACACCCCCGGGAAACUGGGGUCAAUCCCCCAUAGGGGAAGGGCGCUGGAAGGCCCCUUCCCCAAAAGGGACCGCGGCCGAUCCGCCGCAGUCCGCCCGAGGAUGGGGGCACGGCCCAUCAGGUAGUUGGCGGGUUAAAGGCCCGCCAAGCCGAAGACGGGUAGGGGCGGUGAGAGCCGCGAGCCCCGAGAUCGGCACUGAGACAAGGGCCGAGGCCCUACGGGGUGCAGCAGGCGCGAAUACUCCGCAAUGCGGGCAACCGCGACGGGGCUACCCCGAGUGCCGGGCGAAGACCCGGCUUUUGCCCGGUCUAAAACGCCGGGAGAAUAAGCGGGGGGCAAGUACUGGUGUCAGCCGCCGCGGUAAUACCAGCUCCGCGAGUGGUCGGGGUGUUUACUGGGCUUAAAGCGCCCGUAGCCGGCCCGGCAAGUCGCUCCUGAAAUCCCCGGGCUCAACCCGGGGGCGGGGGGCGAUACUGCCGGGCUAGGGGGCGGGAGAGGCCGCCGGUACUCCGGGGGUAGGGGCGAAAUCCGUUAAUCCCCGGAGGACCACCAGUGGCGAAAGCGGGCGGCCAGAACGCGCCCGACGGUGAGGGGCGAAAGCCGGGGGAGCAAAGGGGAUUAGAUACCCCUGUAGUCCCGGCCGUAAACGAUGCGGGCUAGCUGUCGGUCGGGCUUAAGGCCCGGCCGGUGGCUAAGGGAAACCGCUAAGCCCGCCGCCUGGGGAGUACGGCCGCAAUACUUAAAGGAAUUGGCGGGGGGGCACCACAAGGGGUGAAGCUUGCGGCUUAAUUGGAGUCAACGCCGGAAACCUCACCCGGGGCGACAGCAGGAUGAAGGCCAGGCUAACGACCUUGCCGGACAAGCUGAGAGGAGGUGCAUGGCCGUCGUCAGCUCGUGCCGUGAGGUGUCCGGUUAAGUCCGGCAACGAGCGAGACCCCCGCCCCUAGUUGCUACCCCGUCCUACGGGACGGGGGGCACACUAGGGGGACUGCCGGCGUAAGCCGGAGGAAGGAGGGGGCCACGGCAGGUCAGUAUGCCCCGAAACCCCGGGGCUGCACGCGAGCUGCAAUGGCGGGGACAGCGGGAUCCGACCCCGAAAGGGGGAGGCAAUCCCGUAAACCCCGCCCCAGUAGGGAUCGAGGGCUGCAACUCGCCCUCGUGAACGUGGAAUCCCUAGUAACCGCGUGUCACCAACGCGCGGUGAAUACGUCCCUGCUCCUUGCACACACCGCCCGUCGCACCACCCGAGGGAGCUCCCUGCGAGGACCCUUGCCGAAAGGUGGGGGGACGAGCAGGGGGCUCCCAAGGGGGGUGAAGUCGUAACAAGGUACCCGU
rnacentral:rRNA from 1 species